rnacentral:rRNA from 1 species
AUUGAACGCUGGCGGCAGGCCUAACACAUGCAAGUCGAACGGUAACAGGAAGAAGCUUGCUUCUUUGCUGACGAGUGGCGGACGGGUGAGUAAUGUCUGGGAAACUGCCUGAUGGAGGGGGAUAACUACUGGAAACGGUAGCUAAUACCGCAUAACGUCGCAAGACCAAAGAGGGGGACCUUCGGGCCUCUUGCCAUCGGAUGUGCCCAGAUGGGAUUAGCUAGUAGGUGGGGUAACGGCUCACCUAGGCGACGAUCCCUAGCUGGUCUGAGAGGAUGACCAGCCACACUGGAACUGAGACACGGUCCAGACUCCUACGGGAGGCAGCAGUGGGGAAUAUUGCACAAUGGGCGCAAGCCUGAUGCAGCCAUGCCGCGUGUAUGAAGAAGGCCUUCGGGUUGUAAAGUACUUUCAGCGGGGAGGAAGGGAGUAAAGUUAAUACCCUUGCUCAUUGACGUUACCCGCAGAAGAAGCACCGGCUAACUCCG